AACGCGAAGAACCUUACCUGGGCUCGAACGGCUUCUCAACGGCGUUAGAAAUAGCGCUACCCCGCAAGGGGGUGGAGUCGAGGUGCUGCAUGGCUGUCGUCAGCUCGUGUCGUGAGAUGUUGGGUUAAGUCCCGCAACGAGCGCAACCCUUAUCGUUAGUUGCCAGCGAGUCAAGUCGGGCACUCUAGCGAAACCGCCCCGGAUAACGGGGAGGAAGGUGGGGAUGACGUCAAGUCCUCAUGGCCUUUAUGUCCAGGGCUACACACGUGCUACAAUGGUCGGUACAAACCGUCGCAAACCUGCGAAGGGGAGCUAAUCGGAAAAAGCCGGCCUCAGUUCGGAUUGGAGUCUGCAACCCGACUCCAUGAAGCUGGAAUCGCUAGUAAUCGCGGAUCAGCACGCCGCGGUGAAUACGUUCCCGGGCCUUGUACACACCGAGUAUA
rnacentral:rRNA from 1 species